rnacentral:lncRNA from 1 species
CUUAACCCACUGACCAAGGCCAGGGAUUGAACCUGCAACCUCAUGGUUCCUAGUUGGAUUCGUUUCUGCUGUGCCAGAAUGGGAACUCUCAGAUUACAACUUUUUAUCGGACAGACUUAUCUACAUGGCAGAACAAACAUUUAAUAACCAAACUUCUCCUCUUCUGGUCCUAUGAAUUGCCAUUCUCCCAUUUGAAGCUCCAGGCCCCACUCCUUAGUCAGGGUGACUUAUAAGCCUCAAUUGCCUGACUAUCUUUGAGGUCACAUAUUUUUAUGGAGCUCCCAUGUGUACAAAAUUCAAUAUUUUUUCUCCUGUUAAUCUGUCCCAUGUCAAUUUAGUUAUUAGGCAAGCCAAAGAAGGGUAGAAGCAAAAAAUUUCCACCCAGCAAUUGUGAAUCUUACUUCUUAUUGGUCAUUACUCUAUAUGAAUCGUUCUCAACCAUCUGGCAUUUUUCUUUCUUUCUUUUUUGAAGAGCUAAUUGGCUUUAUUAAUUGAUUCAUGACUUGGGCAGCAUCUAGCAAGCAGAAGGGCAUUUAGAGGAGUUGUACAAAAUGGUAGGAAUUUAUAGGCAGAGGCUAUAAACAAACAAAAACGAUUGUUUCAAGCCAGCUCAUCUUCUUUUGUGGGGAAGGGAAUGGCAGGGGUUUUAUUGUGCUGGAAUCAGGAAAUUCCAGACAUUGGUUUAAAAUUCCACUCCUGGGAGAGCCUGAAACUGCAGUUGGGUUGGGUGUGACGUCUAGGUGGGCUUACCACAAGUGACUCCAUUUUGUGUCUGUUUGUUUCUUUUUAAUAACUCUCCCCUUUUGGUCAAACUCUCAGUCUGAGAGAGCUGAUAAAAAGUUAAGGCAUCAGCGUCACCCUCAGCUAGGGCUCUGAAGUCCUCGAAACUUUGCUGGUCUUUGGUGUGGUGUCCAUUGGUCAUGGCAUUUUUGCUUAAUCCUUGUGACAGUCACUGGUUGUGAUUCCAGGUUCACAGUCUUUAAGUCAGUCAUUCUCUUUGUUCUUUUUGACAUUCCCAUUCUCAGGGUGAUCAUUUGCCUGAUGGUCGGCGUCUUUGAAGAAGCAUUUUAAGCUUUUGAGAGACUACAACACACCAGGGAGAUUAUUAUCAUAACGAUAAGCAGGAUAAUUCCCAACAUUUGAAGUACACUUCAGAGCCGCAGUGCUCAAGACCCAAACCAAUCAAAGGUAAAAUAAAUCAAAGUCCUUGUUGAGGGAGCCACCCUUUUAAGCCAAGUGGUUUGCUCAGUGAUCUUAUGUAUCCGAGUUUCAACUUCCCCAGAAGUGUCAGUCGGGUACAGCAGGUGGUGUGGCAACAGCAGAUAUCUCCUUGUUCAGCUACAAGGUAAUUGAGGACUAUUCUAUUAUUAAGAAAAACUUUGGGAGUUCCUGUCAUGCUCAGAGGUAACGAACCCAACUAGAAUCCAUGAGGGCAAGGGUUUGAUCCCUGGCCUUGCUCAGUGGGUUAAGUAUCUGCGUUGCUGUGAGCUAUGGUAUAGGUCAAAGACACAGUUCAAAUAUCGAAUUAUUGUGGCUGUGGCAUAGGCCAGCAGCUACAGCUCCAACUCAACUCCUAACUUGGGAACUUCCAUAUGCCAUGAGUACAGCCCUAAAAAGACAAAAUAAAAAAAAUAAAUAAAUAAAAAAUAACAACUUUGGGAGAGUUCCCACUGUGGCAUAAGGGCAUGGGUGGUGUCUCUGUAGCACUGGGUCACAGGUAAGGAUCCGGUGUUGCCACAGCUAUGGUGUAGCUCAGAUCUGAUCCCUGGCCUGGGAACUCCAUAUGCCACAGAGCAGAAAAAAAAAAACAAAAACAAAGGAACCACUUUGGGGAGUUCCCUGGUGGCCUAACAAUGAAAGGAUCCAGCACUGUCAUUGCUGUGGCGAGGGUUCAUUCCCUGGUCUGAGAAGUCUUAUAUGCCAUGGAGGCAGCCGAAAACAAAAGUGAAAAGAAAAAAAACCAACCAUCGCCAGAGAGGUUAAAAAUCUUUGCUGAGCAGAUAAUGCAACACAAUCUAUAAUGUCUCCAAGAGUUAAGGAGAGGCUUCUGACUAUAUUCUCAUUUGUAAUUACUCCUAACCAGGGAAAAGCCCUGACAAAGGAAAUGAUGCCUAGAUCAUGAAUGUCUCCUCAUGGGUCCUUCCUAGAAAGGUUAGAGGCCGACUCCAGUAACCUAAGAGGUGUGGCUCAGAUGUGCCAUCUGGCAACAUUUUUGAUUGUUACCACUGAGGGGGUGCUAUUGGCAUCCAGUGGGUGAGGCUGGGGAUGGUAUUAAGCAUUCUGUAAUCACAGGACACUCCAUCAUAACAAAGAAUAACUCCCCUAAGAUGCCAAUGGUUGAGAAUGUAAACAGGCUGAGAAACCUGUGUUCAGGUAGAGAAAAAUAGGGCUAAAUGGCCCCCAAACCUAGGGCUGCAGCCACGGCAUAUGGAACUUCCUAGGCUAGGGGUCGAAUCAGAGCCACAUGUCGCCUAACACCACAGCCACAGCAACAUCAGAUCCAAGUUGCGUCUGCGACAUGGCAACACCAGCUCAUGGCAACACCAGAUCCUUAACCCAGCGAGUGAGGCCAGGGAUCGAACCCGAAACCUCAUGGUUCAUAGUUGGAUCCACUGCGCCACGACGGGAACUCCAUGAAAUGCAGUUCUAUAAAGUUACUGUUUUCAUUGCUUUGGAGUUUUGAGUCCUAGUUCAGAUCCUCAUUUCUUCUUCUUCUCCGUCUCCUCCCCCCUGCCCCUUCUUCUUCUCCUUUUUUCUUUUUGACCCCCUGAGGCAUACGGAGUUCUCAGGCCCAGUGAUCAGAUCCAAGCCUCAGUUGCAGUCUACACUGCAGCUGUGGCAACAAUGAAUCCUUAAACCCACUGUGCUGGGCCAGGCAUCCAACCUGUGUCACGGAGCUGCAGAGACACUGCCAAUCCCAUUGUGCCACAGCAGGA